UACGAAGGGGGCUAGCGUUGUUCGGAAUUACUGGGCGUAAAGCGCGCGCAGGCGGCUUGGCAAGUCAGUGGUGAAAUCCCAGAGCUUAACUCCGGAAUUGCCUCUGAAACUGCUGAGCUUCGAGUACGGGAGAGGUGAGUGGAAUUCCCAGUGUAGAGGUGAAAUUCGUAGAUAUUGGGAAGAACACCGGUGGCGAAGGCGGCUCACUGGCCCGUUACUGACGCUCAGGCGCGACAGCGUGGGGAUCAAACAGG
rnacentral:rRNA from 2 species